AGAGUUUGAUCCUGGCUCAGGACGAACGCUGGCGGCGUGCUUAACACAUGCAAGUCGAGCGAUGAAGCUUCCUUCGGGAAGUGGAUUAGCGGCGGACGGGUGAGUAACACGUGGGUAACCUACCUCAAAGUGGGGGAUAGCCUUCCGAAAGGAAGAUUAAUACCGCAUAAUAUAGGAGAAUCGCAUGAUUUUCUUAUCAAAGAUUUAUUGCUUUGAGAUGGACCCGCGGCGCAUUAGCUAGUUGGUAAGGUAACGGCUUACCAAGGCAACGAUGCGUAGCCGACCUGAGAGGGUGAUCGGCCACAUUGGAACUGAGACACGGUCCAGACUCCUACGGGAGGCAGCAGUGGGGAAUAUUGCGCAAUGGGGGAAACCCUGACGCAGCAACGCCGCGUGGGUGAUGAAGGUCUUCGGAUUGUAAAGCCCUGUUUUCUAGGACGAUAAUGACGGUACUAGAGGAGGAAGCCACGGCUAACUACGUGCCAGCAGCCGCGGUAAUACGUAGGUGGCGAGCGUUGUCCGGAUUUACUGGGCGUAAAGGGUGCGUAGGCGGAUGUUUAAGUGGGAUGUGAAAUCCCCGGGCUUAACCUGGGGGCUGCAUUCCAAACUGGAUAUCUAGAGUGCAGGAGAGGAAAGCGGAAUUCCUAGUGUAGCGGUGAAAUGCGUAGAGAUUAGGAAGAACACCAGUGGCGAAGGCGGCUUUCUGGACUGUAACUGACGCUGAGGCACGAAAGCGUGGGUAGCAAACAGGAUUAGAUACCCUGGUAGUCCACGCCGUAAACGAUGGAUACUAGGUGUAGGGGGUAUCAACUCCCCCUGUGCCGCAGUUAACACAAUAAGUAUCCCGCCUGGGG
rnacentral:rRNA from 1 species